AACGAACGCUGGCGGCAGGCUUAACACAUGCAAGUCGAGCGCCCCGCAAGGGGAGCGGCAGACGGGUGAGUAACACGUGGGAACGUACCUUUUGCUACGGAAUAGCUCCGGGAAACCGGAAUUAAUACCGUAUGUGCCCUUCGGGGGAAAGAUUUAUCGGCAAAAGAUCGGCCCGCGUCUGAUUAGCUAGUUGGUGGGGUAAUGGCCUACCAAGGCGACGAUCAGUAGCUGGUCCGGGAGGAUGAUCAGCCACACUGGGACUGAGACACGGCCCAGACUCCUACGGGAGGCAGCAGUGGGGAAUAUUGGACAAUGGGCGCAAGCCUGAUCCAGCCAUGCCGCGUGAGUGAUGAAGGCCUUAGGGUUGUAAAGCUCUUUCGCUAGGGAAGAUAAUGACGGUACCUAGAGAAGAAGCCCCGGCUAACUUCGUGCCAGCCGCCGCGGUAACAC
rnacentral:rRNA from 1 species